GGGUAACCUGCCUGUAAGACUGGGAUAACUCCGGGAAACCGGGGCUAAUACCGGAUAACACCUACCCCCGCAUGGGGGAAGGUUGAAAGGUGGCUUCGGCUAUCACUUACAGAUGGACCCGCGGCGCAUUAGCUAGUUGGUGAGGUAAUGGCUCACCAAGGCGACGAUGCGUAGCCGACCUGAGAGGGUGAUCGGCCACACUGGGACUGAGACACGGCCCAGACUCCUACGGGAGGCAGCA
rnacentral:rRNA from 1 species